UUUGUCUUUUUUAAGAAGAGAAAAUUGUACAAGUUUCCCUGGUGACCAGCGGAAGGGAUCAUUACCGAGUUUACAACUCCCAAACCCCAAUGUGAACGUUACCAAACGUGAUUGCCUCGGCGGGAUCUCUGCCCCGGGUGCGUCGCAGCCCCGGACCAAGGCGCCCGCCGGAGGACCAACCUAAAACUCCUUAUUGUAUACCCCCUCGCGGGUUUUUUUAUAAUCUGAAGCCUUCUCGGCGCCUCUCGUAGGCGUUUCGAAAAUGAAUCAAAACUUUCUAACAACGGAUCUCUUUGGUUCUGGCAUCGAUGAAAGAACGCAGCGAAAUGCGAUAAGUAAUGUGAAUUGCAGAAUUCCAGUGAAUCAAUCGAAUCUUUGAAACGCACAUUGCGCCCGCCAGUAUUCUGGCGGGCAUGCCUGUCCGAGCGUCAUUUCAACCCUCGAACCCCUCCGGGGGGUCGGCGUUGGGGAUCGGCCCUCCCUUAGCGGGUGGCCGUCUCCGAAAUACAGUGGCGGUCUCGCCGCAGCCUCUCCUGCGCAGUAGUUUGCACACUCGCAUCGGGAGCGCGGCGCGUCCACAGCCGUUAAACACCCAACUUCUGAAAUGUUGACCUCGGAUCAGGUAGGAAUACCCGCUGAACUUAAGCAUAUCAAUAAGCGGAGGAAAAGAAACCAACAGGGAUUGCCCCAGUAACGGCGAGUGAAGCGGCAACAGCUCAAAUUUGAAAUCUGGCCCCUAGGGUCCGAGUUGUAAUUUGUAGAGGAUGCUUUUGGUGAGGUGCCGCCCGAGUUCCCUGGAACGGGACGCCACAGAGGGUGAGAGCCCCGUCUGGCUGGCCGCCGAGCCUCUGUAAAGCUCCUUCGACGAGUCGAGUAGUUUGGGAAUGCUGCUCAAAAUGGGAGGUAUAUGUCUUCUAAAGCUAAAUAUUGGCCAGAGACCCGAUAGCGCACAAGUAGAGUGAUCGAAAAGAUGAAAAGCACCUUGAAAAGAGGGUUAAAUAGUACGUGAAAAUUGUUGAAAGGGAAGCGCUUGUGACCAGACUUGGGCGCGGCGGAUCAUCCGGGGUUCUCUCCGGUGCACUUCGCCGCGUCUAGGCCAGCAUCAGUUCGUCGCGGGGGAAAAAGGCUUCGGGAACGUGGCUCCUCCGGGAAGUGUUAUAGCCCGUUGCAUAAUACCCUGCGGUGGAGCUAAGGAACCGCCCAUUCGCAUGAUACGCAGCCUAAGGUCCACAACCCUUUUUAAAAAAAGAAAA
rnacentral:rRNA from 1 species